AGAGUCACUGCUUUCCAGGAUAGAGUCCUCCAUCAGGACACUGAAAAAAACCUCUGGAAGCAGAAUCUUGACCUGAUGGCAAUUUAAAUUUUCUCAGUUCUAACAAGAGUGGGUGCUCUGUAUCUAACAAACAGAAC